rnacentral:rRNA from 1 species
CCCUUAGAUGUUCUGGGCCGCACGCGCGCUACACUGACGAAGUCAGCGAGCAUGUCCUACGCCGACAGGUGCGGGGAAUCUUGUCAAACUUCGUCGUGAUGGGGAUUGAUUAUUGAAAUUCUUGAUCAUCAACGAGGAAUUCCUAGUAAGCGCAAGUCAGCAGCUUGCGUUGAUUACGUCCCUGCCCUUUGUACACACCGCCCGUCGCUACUACCGAUUGAAUGGUUUAGUGAGAUCUGCGGAUUGGCGCCACUGCGGCUCAGCAAUGGGCUCGGUGGAUGCCGAAAAGUUGAUCAAACUUGAUCAUUUAGAGGAAGUAAAAGUCGUAACA